UACAUACUCCCUCCGUUCUGAAUUACUUGUCGCAGAAAUGGAUGUAUCUAGAACUAAAAUACAUCUAGAUACAUCCAUACCCGCGACAAGUAAUUCGGAACAGAGGGAGUACAUA
rnacentral:pre_miRNA from 1 species